rnacentral:rRNA from 1 species
CCUACGGGUGGCUGCAGUGGGGAAUCUUGCGCAAUGGGCGAAAGCCUGACGCAGCAACGCCGCGUGCGGGAUGAAGGCCUUCGGGUUGUAAACCGCUUUCAGUAGGGACGAAAAUGACGGUACCUACAGAAGAAGCCCCGGCCAACUACGUGCCAGCAGCCGCGGUAACACGUAGGGGGCGAGCGUUGUCCGGAUUUAUUGGGCGUAAAGAGCUCGUAGGCGGUUCGGUAAGUCGGGUGUGAAAACUCUGGGCUCAACCCAGAGACGCCACCCGAUACUGCUGUGACUUGAGUCCGGUAGGGGAGCGUGGAAUUCCUGGUGUAGCGGUGAAAUGCGCAGAUAUCAGGAGGAACACCAGCGGCGAAGGCGGCGCUCUGGGCCGGAACUGACGCUGAGGAGCGAAAGCGUGGGUAGCAAACAGGAUUAGAUACCCGUGUAGUC